rnacentral:sRNA from 3 species
CGGUUAUUUUUACGGGUAUUGGUUUAGCCGCUCGAGCGCCUGAGCCCACCCGCCCAGGCGCCCGGAUCCGGGACGCCUGCCAAACCCCUGAACCCCCGGUUGGCUUCCCAACCGGGGG